rnacentral:rRNA from 1 species
UACGAAGGGGGCUAGCGUUGUUCGGAAUCACUGGGCGUAAAGGGCGCGUAGGCGGCUUUGUAAGUCGGGGGGUGAAAGCCUGUGGCUCAACCACAGAAUUGCCUUCGAUACUGCAUGGCUUGAGACCGGAAGAGGUAAGUGGAACUGCGAGUGUAGAGGUGAAAUUCGUAGAUAUCCGCAAGAACACCAGUGGCGAAGGCGGCUUACUGGUCCGGUUCUGACGCUGAGGCGCGAAAGCGUGGGGAGCAAACAGG